GACGAACGCUGGCGGCGUGCUUAACACAUGCAAGUCGAACGGAGUGGCGAACGGGUGAGCAACACGUGGGUGAUCCGCCCUGCACUUCGGUAUAAGCUUGGGAAACUGGGUCUCAUAACGGACAGGGCAAGAUGAGCCCGCGGCCUAUCAGCCUGUUGGUGGGGUAAUGGCCUACCAAGGCGUUGACGGGUAGCCGGCCUGAGAGGGUGUACGGCCACAUUGGGACUGAGAUGCGGCCCAGCCUCAUACGGGAGGCAGCAGUGGGGGUUGUUGCACAAUAGGCGGAAGCCUGAUGGAGGGACGCCGGGUGGGGGAUGAAGGCCUUCGGGUUGUAAACUCCUGUCGACAGGGACGCGGUACCUGUAUAAGAAGCAACGGCUAACUACGUGCCAGCAGCCGCGGUAAUAC
rnacentral:rRNA from 1 species